AAACAUAGUUUUAUGAAAAUAUAUAAAAUAUUUUCUGCCCAGUGUUUAUAAUAAAUGGCCGCAGUACCUUGACUGUGCUAAGGUAGCAUAAUCAAUUGGCUUUUAAUUAAGGUCUAGAAUGAAAGGGAUAAUGAAGUUAAACUGUCUUAAUAACUUUUAUUAAAAUUUAUUAAAAAGGUGAAAAUACCUUUAAAAAAAAUAAAGACGAGAAGACCCUUAGAAUUUUUGAAUUUUUUUUGUUGGGGCGACAAUUUAAAAUAAUAAUCUUAAAUUUUAUAAUAUAACGAUUUUUUUAAUAAAAAUUAAAUUACCUUAGGGAUAACAGCAUAAUUAUUUAAAUAGUUUGUGACCUCGAUGUUGGACUAGGAACUAUAUGGCUAACCGUCUAAAUA
rnacentral:rRNA from 1 species